GCUGUGAUGGCCGAGUGGCUAAGGUGUUGGACUAGAAAUCCAAUGGGCUCUUCCUUCACACGUUCAAACCCUGCUCACAGUG
rnacentral:tRNA from 2 species